AGCUACAAGAUGGAAUGAGCCUGGGACCCUGAAUGGCCACGUGUAGCAGAGCCUCUCUGCUGACCUGGAACAUUAACCUCAGACUCUUUUGAGUUGUGCAACCAUCACCACAAUGAAUUGUAGAAUAUUUUCAUCACUCCAAACAGAAACCCUGCAUCUAUGAGUUGUCACUCUUCAACUUGCCUCUGCCACUCCUUUCAACUAUUACUUUACUUUCUGUCUCUAUAGAUUUGCCUGUUGUAAACAUUUCAUAUAACAUUAAAAACUUAAGACCAUAAA